rnacentral:tRNA from 1 species
GCCCGCCUAGCUCAAUCGGAUAGAGCGUCAGACUCUUACGCUGAGACGGGUGAUCUGAAGGCUGCGAGUUCGACCCUCGCGGUGGGCU